AUUCGGAUUGCAGGCUGCAACUCGCCUGCAUGAAGCUGGAAUUGCUAGUAAUCGCGGAUCAGCAAGCCGCGGUGAAUACGUUCCCGGGCCUUGUACACACCGCCCGUCACACCAUGAGAGUCGGGAACACCCGAAGUCCGUAGUCUAACCGCAAGGGGGGCGCGGCCGAAGGUGGGUCCGGUAAUUGGGGUGAAGUCGUAACAAGGUAAC
rnacentral:rRNA from 1 species